rnacentral:rRNA from 1 species
AUUGAACGCUGGCGGCAGGCUUAACACAUGCAAGUCGAGCGGAGCGAGGGUGCUUGCACCUUAGCUUAGCGGCGGACGGGUGAGUAAUGCUUAGGAAUCUGCCUAUUAGUGGGGGACAACGUUCCGAAAGGAACGCUAAUACCGCAUACGUCCUACGGGAGAAAGCAGGGGACCUUCGGGCCUUGCGCUAAUAGAUGAGCCUAAGUCGGAUUAGCUAGUUGGUGGGGUAAAGGCCUACCAAGGCGACGAUCUGUAGCGGGUCUGAGAGGAUGAUCCGCCACACUGGGACUGAGACACGGCCCAGACUCCUACGGGAGGCAGCAGUGGGGAAUAUUGGACAAUGGGCGGAAGCCUGAUCCAGCCAUGCCGCGUGUGUGAAGAAGGCCUUUUGGUUGUAAAGCACUUUAAGCGAGGAGGAGGAACUCUAGAUUAAUACUCUAGAUGUUUGGACGUUACUCGCAGAAUAAGCACCGGCUAACUCUGUGCCAGCCGCCGCCGUAAGAC